AGCAGUCGCCGCGGUAAUACGGAGGGUGCAAGCGUUAAUCGGAAUUACUGGGCGUAAAGCGCACGCAGGCGGUUUGUUAAGUCGGAUGUGAAAUCCCCGAGCUUAACUUGGGAACUGCAUUUGAAACUGGCAAGCUAGAGUCUUGUAGAGGGGGGUAGAAUUCCAGGUGUAGCGGUGAAAUGCGUAGAGAUCUGGAGGAAUACCGGUGGCGAAGGCGGCCCCCUGGACAAAGACUGACGCUCAGGUGCGAAAGCGUGGGGAGCAAACAGGAUUAGAUACCCGCGUAGUCCCUGUCUCUUAUAC
rnacentral:rRNA from 1 species